rnacentral:rRNA from 1 species
CGCGGUGAAUACGUUCCCGGACCUUGUACACACCGCCCGUCAAGCCAUGGAAGUCGGGUAGACCUGAAGGCGGUAACCGCAAGGAGCCGUCUAGGGUAGAACCGGUAACUGGGGCU